CCGAAGAAGAGAAUUUUUAACUAAGAAGUCACUUCUAAAGUUCAAAUGGACAAAAAACAUAUAGUGAUGGCCAGAAAAAUUCUAAACAGUCACGAUAACGAACAUCGGCUCUCCCAGAUCUGCUCCAUGGAUCAGAAUCAGUUCCACAUGGGGUCAAAGAUUUAAUGUAAAAAAAUAAAACCACUGAAGUCAGAGGAUAAAGGAGAAUGAGGCUGCCGUCUAAGCAAGACACAAAACCAAGAGGAAGCCGCUCACCACAGAAAUGGGGUGACGACUCAGUUCCCAUGACUGAGCAGAGCCCUGAUACGUGACGACCAUCAGCUCCGUGGCCGGCCCAGGGAGGGCUCCUGCCCUGGUCCUCGAUGGCUUCCCUGCUGACCAGGGUGCUCCGAGCCUGCUUUGUACGUCUCCUGGCCCAGAACCUCUUCGUAUGACAUCUUGUCUCCUUUCUUCCACACCAAGGGUGUGGGUCUCGAAGACACUGGGGAUGGUAGAACUAGGACCUCCCAAAAUUUCUCACACUUCAUCCUCACGGCACACGCGGCACCUCAGACUCCAAUGCCAGUGCCACCACAGCCACGCUUCUAGGAGACGGGACAGGAGCUUCCAGGCCCUCCCUUCACCUGCACUCUACAAUUCUUCAAUGCACCCCUCCAGUCCUUACGUCAAAAUGGAACCACCUUGAAGAGGCUCCCAGCGGCCAAGGCCCAGUAAACACUAGAAUUCCCAGGCACAGAGAGGAGAGCGAGAGGGGCCGCAGAGCAGAGAGGGCCAUGCGCCCCACGCGGGAUCAGGGUCCCGCUGGAGACACCCACGUCUUCGUGAGAGAGGACAUGUUUUCCCAAACCCAAACGAGGCCCCACACUGAGAGCGGAGCUCCUGCUCUGCCAUUGGGCCACUUCUGCGGACUUCCCAAGACCCUCCCCGGGAGAGUGGCUGCACGAGGUGGGAAGGGCAGUUUUACGGCUCCGCACAGUUAGAGAUUAACUCACUGAUAAGGCCCACGCAGGACUUCACCAGCAGGGUUUCUCAGCCACCACCCUUGGCCAUCACUUCGUUCCGCCAUAGUCAACUCCUUCCUCAAACACCCUGCACCUUUAUGGCCCCUCACUCUGCACUUUUAUAGCCCCUCUGCACUUUUAUGGGACGCACUGGCCAUCUGUUUGAGAUGCUGCUUUCACACUUACAAUACCCCCCUUGGCCUUGCGGCAGCAUGAAUCUGUCUCUGUUCUUUGCAACUGCCCAAUUAAAACAAUGACGUUUCCAGAGAAAUGCUACAGCCUUCUCAAGGCGGGCUCUUCCCUUUUGCCAAAAGACCUGCUGGUCCCACACCUGCAGGGGUCAGGUAGGGUGGUCAGUGUUGGAGCAACCGGGAAGGGGGUGACCUGGGGACCCAGGAGGUGAGCCCAGCCACAGGUGCCCGUGACCGACCCAGAGCACCGUGGGGCAGUAAAUGGGUGAUGUGUUCCACCAAGCAGAGAGAUGGUGUUUCUGUCCUUACACGCAGGAGUUACACAUUGUUACACAUUCUUUAAGGAGAGCCUGUGGCUGCACUACUGGGAAUUUACUAGAAACCAGCGAAUUGUGCACUCUAAUUGGGUAAAUUCUUUAGUGUGUGAAUUGCAUCUCAAUAAGGCUGUUAAAAAAAUAAAAAAUCAAUUAAAAAUGUUCAAGAGUUCAGCUGCUAAAAACCUUGAAAGCUG
rnacentral:lncRNA from 10 species